UAGCGGCGGACGGGUGAGUAACGCGUAGGUAACUUACCUCUUACAGGGGGAUAACACUUAGAAAUGGGUGCUAAUACCGCAUAACACCGAACCAAGGCAUCUUGGAACGGUCAAAGGAGCAAUCUGGUAAGAGAUAGACCUGCGUUCGAUUAGCUAGUUGGUGGGGUAGAGGCCUACCAAGGCGACGAUCGAUAGCCGAACUGAGAGGUUGAUCGGCCACAUUGGGACUGAGACACGGCCCAAACUCCUACGGGAGGCAGCAGUGGGAGUAUUGCUCAAUGGAGGAAACUCUGAAGCAGCAACGCCGCGUGAAGGAAGAAGGCUUUCGGGUUGUAAACUUCUUUGAAUGGUGACGAAUAAAUGACGGUAACCAUAAAACAAGCCACGGCUAACUACGUGCCAGCAGCCGCGGUAAUACGUAGGUGGCAAGCGUUAUCCGGAAUUACUGGGUGUAAAGGGCGUGUAGGCGGGAAGAUAAGUCAGAUGUGAAAUGCCAAGGCUUAACCAUGGAACUGCAUCUGAAACUAUUUUUCUUGAGUGCUGGAGAGGAAAGCGGAAUUCCUAGUGUAGCGGUGAAAUGCGUAGAUAUUAGGAGGAACACCAGUGGCGAAGGCGGCUUUCUGGACAGUAACUGACGCUGAGGCGCGAAAGCGUGGGGAGCAAACAGGAUUAGAUACCCUGGUAGUCCACGCUGUAAACGAUGGAUACUAGGUGUAGGGGGUAUCGACCCCUUCUGUGCCGGAGUUAACACAAUAAGUAUCCCACCUGGGGAGUACGGCCGCAAGGUGAA
rnacentral:rRNA from 1 species